rnacentral:rRNA from 1 species
GAUGAACGCUGGCGGCGUGCCUAAUACAUGCAAGUCGAGCGAACAGACGAGGAGCUUGCUCCUCUGACGUUAGCGGCGGACGGGUGAGUAACACGUGGAUAACCUACCUAUAAGACUGGGAUAACUUCGGGAAACCGGAGCUAAUACCGGAUAAUAUAUUGAACCGCAUGGUUCAAUAGUGAAAGACGGUUUUGCUGUCACUUAUAGAUGGAUCCGCGCCGCAUUAGCUAGUUGGUAAGGUAACGGCUUACCAAGGCGACGAUGCGUAGCCGACCUGAGAGGGUGAUCGGCCACACUGGAACUGAGACACGGUCCAGACUCCUACGGGAGGCAGCAGUAGGGAAUCUUCCGCAAUGGGCGAAAGCCUGACGGAGCAAAGCCGCGUGAGUGAUGAAGGUCUUAGGAUCGUAAAACUCUGUUAUUAGGGAAGAACAAAUGUGUAAGUAACUAUGCACGUCUUGACGGUACCUAAUCAGAAAGCCACGGCUAACUACGUG